rnacentral:lncRNA from 1 species
UACGUGGUAUUUCUAAUCCACUUGGCAUCAAGGUGAGUCACAAGAUGGAUCCCAAGGAGCUCGUGAAGCUCAUAGAGAUAAUGAACCCAGAAAACAAACCUGGUAGGAUCACCAUCAUAACCAGAAUGGGGGCUGAAAACAUGAGAGUCAAAUUACCGCAGCUAAUCAGAGCCGUCCGUGGAGCCGGACAGAUCGUCACCUGGAUAAGCGAUCCAAUGCAUGGAAACACCAUUAAGGCGCCUUGUGGACUCAAGAC